ensembl:ncRNA R04F11.23 ncRNA
CAGUUUUUAUAGACCAAUUGGAAGGUUUAUAAGUAGAUAACUUGUGAUUUUGGGUUACUUACCAUAGA